CCCUUUUACUGCAGUUCUUUGCAUUCUUACAGAUUCAUUUACUCAGCACAUUUUUCUUUGUUUUUUCAAUCUUUUUUGAUCUCCAACCUUUAGGAUCUAAAUGAUAAGAUUGUUAUUCCUACUGAGCAACCUCACCUUCAAUGCCUGGGUCCAAUGGGCAAUCCAGAUCCCACUGAUUUAAUCAACGCAGAAACCAACCAAAUCCCCUUUAGAGU
rnacentral:lncRNA from 1 species